rnacentral:rRNA from 1 species
UACGUAGGGGGGCAAGCGUUGUCCGGAAUCAUUGGGCGUAAAGCGCGUGUAGGCGGCCCGGUAAGUCCGCUGUGAAAGUCCAGGGCUCAACCCUGGGAUGCCGGUGGAUACUGUCGGGCUCGAGUCCGGAAGAGGCGAGUGGAAUUCCUGGUGUAGCGGUGAAAUGCGCAGAUAUCAGGAGGAACACCAAUGGCGAAGGCAGCUCGCUGGGGACGUGACUGACGCUGAGACGCGAAAGCGUGGGGGAGCAAACAGG